rnacentral:rRNA from 1 species
UACGGGGGGGGGCAAGCGUUGUUCGGAAUUACUGGGCGUAAAGGGCUCGUAGGCGGCCAACUAAGUCAGACGUGAAAUCCCCUCGGCUUAACCGGGGAACUGCGUCUGAUACUGGAUGGCUUGAGUUUGGGAGAGGGAUGCGGAAUUCCAGGUGUAGCGGUGAAAUGCGUAGAUAUCUGGAGGAACACCGGUGGCGAAGGCGGUUCUCUGGGCCUGUACUGACGCUGAGGAGCGAAAGCGUGGGGAGCGAACAGG